CUGACCGCUAGAUGCCACUGACUUCAAUUGAUUUGUCAUUUGCCUGCAUCAUGAAAUGAAACAUGGCGAAACAAAUUGUUGCUAUUGUAUACUUAUUUUUCUGUGAUUCCGAAUACUGAAUUGAACUUCGUUUGUAAAAGUCGACCGUCAUUACAACAAGUUGACUUAUCACUUAUCAGUCAAUUUCCAUCCGGCCAUUAGAUCCUUAUACUCUCAAAAGCCUGAAACUCAUAUUUGAAGGCUUGAAGCUCACAUACAGUGGAAUAAGACAAAAGUUAUUACUCAUGGACCAUAGGAUAUUUUCUGAAUCUUGCAAGUGUAACCUGUGUCAGAAUGUUUGUCGAGUGUACAACUGUUUCUACACUAUACAGCCGUUCAGAAGGCAACCCAGCUGAGAGAGUUCCAGUUUCAGUGAAUGAACAUGAAGUGUGUGAAGUGUAUUUAGUACAUUUACCAGAUCUGCUUGAUGAAAGUCAAAUGCCUUACUGAAUUCGUCACCCAAAUGAUAAAGAACUAUUUGUGACGUCCCCUGAGAUCGAGAGUCGGCCGCCAGUUUCAAUCUACAACGCAGUUUCUUCAUGGAAUCGUGAGGUCCUGGCACGGAGAUCCUUGAGCCAACGCUGGCUUUUGUCCAUGACAGAAAAGGGACUUCCACCAACAUUCGGAUGCUUAUCUUCACGACGUACGCUGCUUCUUGUGCUUCACUGUUGAAUUAAAUCACUUCAGUGUUCGCUUCCGUCCGCUGUGAAAUACCUGCAGUCACUCGCCACGGGAUUAUGCCCAGAGGAGACCGCGAGAAGAUGGACGCCGGUAACGCCGGUAACUCCAAAAUGUCAGCGCGGAUCAUCAUUUGUUGUUGGUAAUAUUUGUGUUUGUGUUAGUGAACCCGUUGGCUGCCACGCCUUUGUUCUCCCCUGUGUUAGUUCCUUAGCACGGGCCGUGCUGUUCGGUCUCGUGGUUCACAUGCCGCGGGGUCGGAUAGUCGCACCAGCCCCAGAUUCGCCGCAAGGCGCCUGUUAGGCAGUGCACCAUAGGGAAUUCCCUCUUGUCGAUGCGGUGAUGGAUUCUAGAGGCGUGCAUUCCAUCUUCUCCUGUCACCGUGUCAGCCCGGACUUGUCAGCAAUGGCAAGUCUCACCUUUUGUCAUGGAUCCUUCAGACAUGGCGCGUAGAGUAGUAGAAGAACAACCUACGGGUUGUAUGGCGUGGCAGCCAACGGGUUAACUUAAGUGUAUGUAUGUACUAUGUAAUUAUGUAUGUAUAAUAUGUGUGAUUGUAAAAU